rnacentral:tRNA from 16 species
GCGGAGGUGGCGAAAUUGGCAGACGCACUAGCUUGAGGUGCUAGCGCCGCAAGGCAUAGGGGUUCAAGUCCCCUCCUCCGCACCA